UACGUAGGGUGCGAGCGUUGCCCGGAAUUACUGGGCGUAAAGAGCUCGUAGGCGGUUUGUCGCGUCUGCUGUGAAAACCCGAGGCUCAACCUCGGGCCUGCAGUGGGUACGGGCAGACUAGAGUGCGGUAGGGGAGAUUGGAAUUCCUGGUGUAGCGGUGGAAUGCGCAGAUAUCAGGAGGAACACCGAUGGCGAAGGCAGAUCUCUGGGCCGUAACUGACGCUGAGGAGCGAAAGCGUGGGGAGCGAACAGG
rnacentral:rRNA from 1 species